UGGCUCCUACGGGGGGCAGCAGUGGGGAAUAUUGCGCAAUGGGGGCAACCCUGACGCAGCAACGCCGCGUGCAGGAAGAAGGUCUUCGGAUUGUAAACUGUUGUCGCAGGGGAAGAAGACAGUGACGGUACCCUGUGAGAAAGUCACGGCUAACUACGUGCCAGCAGCCGCGGUAAUACGUAGGAGACAAGCGUUGUCCGGAUUUACUGGGUGUAAAGGGAGCGAAGGCGGGAUAGGAAGUCAGUCGUGAAAUG
rnacentral:rRNA from 1 species